rnacentral:rRNA from 1 species
GACGCGCAGCGAGAGGUGCUUGCCCUUUCAGCGAGUGGCGAACGGGUGAGUAACACGUGGAUAACCUGCCUCAAGGCUGGGGAUAACAUUUGGAAACAGAUGCUAAUACCGAAUAAAACUUAGUAUCGCAUGAUAUCAAGUUAAAAGGCGCUACGGCGUCACCUAGAGAUGGAUCCGCGGUGCAUUAGUUAGUUGGUGGGGUAAAGGCUUACCAAGACAAUGAUGCAUAGCCGAGUUGAGAGACUGAUCGGCCACAUUGGGACUGAGACACGGCCCAAACUCCUACGGGAGGCUGCAGUAGGGAAUCUUCCACAAUGGGCGCAAGCCUGAUGGAGCAACGCCGCGUGUGUGAUGAAGGCUUUCGGGUCGUAAAGCACUGUUGUAUGGGAAGAAAUGCUAAAAUAGGGAAUGAUUUUAGUUUGACGGUACCAUACCAGAAAGGGACGGCUAAAUACGUGCCAGCAGCCGCGGUAAUACGUAUGUCCCGAGCGUUAUCCGGAUUUAUUGGGCGUAAAGCGAGCGCAGACGGUUGAUUAAGUCUGAUGUGAAAGCCCGGAGCUCAACUCCGGAAUGGCAUUGGAAACUGGUUAACUUGAGUGUUGUAGAGGUAAGUGGAACUCCAUGUGUAGCGGUGGAAUGCGUAGAUAUAUGGAAGAACACCAGUGGCGAAGGCGGCUUACUGGACAACAACUGACGUUGAGGCUCGAAAGUGUGGGUAGCAAACAGGAUUAGAUACCCUGGUAGUCCACACCGUAAACGAUGAAUACUAGGUGUUAGGAGGUUUCCGCCUCUUAGUGCCGAAGCUAACGCAUUAAGUAUUCCGCCUGGGGAGUACGACCGCAAGGUUGAAACUCAAAGGAAUUGACGGGGACCCGCACAAGCGGUGGAGCAUGUGGUUUAAUUCGAAGCAACGCGAAGAACCUUACCAGGUCUUGACAUCCUUUGAAGCUUUUAGAGAUAGAAGUGUUCUCUUCGGAGACAAAGUGACAGGUGGUGCAUGGUCGUCGUCAGCUCGUGUCGUGAGAUGUUGGGUUAAGUCCCGCAACGAGCGCAACCCUUAUUGUUAGUUGCCAGCAUUCAGUUGGGCACUCUAGCGAGACUGCCGGUGACAAACCGGAGGAAGGCGGGGACGACGUCAGAUCAUCAUGCCCCUUAUGACCUGGGCUACACACGUGCUACAAUGGCGUAUACAACGAGUUGCCAACCUGCGAAGGUGAGCUAAUCUCUUAAAGUACGUCUCAGUUCGGACUGCAGUCUGCAACUCGACUGCACGAAGUCGGAAUCGCUAGUAAUCGCGGAUCAGCACGCCGCGGUGAAUACGUUCCCGGGUCUUGUACACACCGCCCGUCACACCAUGGGAGUUUGUAAUGCCCAAAGCCG